GUGGGGAAUAUUGGACAAUGGGCGCAAGCCUGAUCCAGCCAUGCCGCGUGAGUGAUGAAGGCCCUAGGGUUGUAAAGCUCUUUCACCGGUGAAGAUAAUGACUGUAGCCGGAGAAGAAGCCCCGGCUAACUUCGUGCCAGCAGCCGCGGUAAUACGAAGGGGGCUAGCGUUGCUCGGAUUUACUGGGCGUAAAGGGCGCGUAGGCGGACAUUUAAGUCAGGGGUGAAAUCCCGGGGCUCAACCUCGGAACUGCCUUUGAUACAGGGUGUCUUGAGUAUGAGAGAGGUGUGUGGAACUCCGAGUGUAGAGGUGAAAUUCGUAGAUAUUCGGAAGAACACCAGUGGCGAAGGCGACACACUGGCUCAUUACUGACGCUGAGGCGCGAAAGCGUGGGGAGCAAACAGGAUUAGAAACCCCUGUAGUCC
rnacentral:rRNA from 1 species